CUUCUUUACUAUACCUAUGCCUUUUACCCUUCAUUACUUUACAUUUCUGUAAUGUGUACUGUUGCUCAAAUUAACUUUGUCUAAAUGGAGUUGCCGUAUAUCGCUGUGCAAGAUGGCGGCGGGCACGCGCACGCGCAAAAGACCAUACUCCAAAAUCAGGCAAGUCCUGCAAAUCGGGCAGUGACAAAGUCCACUAUCCAGCAGCAAGAGCGGAAGUACCUGAAGUAGUGGUCGAAGUAGUACCUGAAAAACUUUACGUACCUUCGACAUGGACGAGCUAACAAGUCCUGUACGGAAACAACACCAGUUUGAUGUUGGCAAACUUCAGAGAUAUUUGUCUAAUAAGAUCAACGUCAAUGCCCUCACCGUCAGACAGUACAGCUUCGGUCAAUCAAACCCAACAUUUCUGCUGCAGACGCCGUCAAAAAGUUACGUUCUUAGGAAAAAGCCUCCGGGCGAGCUGCUGCCAGGAGCUCAUAAGGUGGACCGUGAGUACCACGUGCAGAAGGCACUGUUUGCCGCAGGCUUCCCUGUUCCUCAGCCUUUACUACACUGCACCGAUGUGGAUGUUGUUGGAACAGAGUUCUACCUGAUGGAACAUGUGAAGGGUCGUAUAUUCAGGGAUCUUCGUCUCCCAGGACUGAGUCCAGCAGAGAGAACUGCUCUGUAUGUGGCUGCAGUGGAGCUUUUAGCAAAGCUGCACUCACUGCACCUGACGUCACUGGACCUUGACAGAUAUGGACGAGGAUCAGGCUACUGUAAACGACAGGUGUCCACCUGGACCAGACAGUACACUGCUGCAGCCCAUAGGGACAUUCCAGCCAUGAACGAACUCUCUGAUUGGCUGCUGAGGAAUUUACCAGCCGACGACGAUGAGGUCACACUCGUCCACGGCGAUUUCCGCCUGGAUAACUUGAUAUUCCAUCCAACCGAGGCUCGGGUGAUGGCACUGCUGGACUGGGAGCUGUCCACCACUGGGCAGCCGCUGGCAGACUUGGCCUACUUCCUGAUGCCACACUACUGGCCCAGAGACCUCCAGGUUGUCAGUACACUGGGCAGCUUGAAGGGAAUAGAAGGAAUUCCCAGUGUGGAGGAUCUGGUCUCCAUCUACAGGCAGUGUCGGGGAAUCACAUCUUCUUUCCCUCAGCUGAAUUUCUACCUGGCCCUGUCUGUCUUUAAGAUGGCAGGUAUCGCUCAGGGAAUCUAUGCACGCCACCUACUGGGUAAUGCCAGUGCGCCCAACGCAGAGCAGUUUGGCCAGUGUGUGGAGCCCUUGGCUACGGUUGCCCUGCAGCUUGGAGAGGGCUCCUUCACUGAUCCAGGAGAAGAUGGACUCUUUCUGCACACGGCCAAAGGUCGGGCGGUUCUCCAGCAGGUCAAGGACUUCAUGAGGAAACAUGUGCUUCCUGCUCAGAAGGAGGUUGAACAGUACUACACCCAACAUGCUCAGUCUCCACAGAGGUGGCACACACCCCGGGUCAUGGAGGACCUGAAGCUGAGAGCCAGAGAAGCCGGACUGUGGAACCUGUUCCUGCCUGCGGCCAGCGGCCUCUCUCAGCUGGACUACGCCUACAUUGCGGAGGAGACCGGACGAUGCCUGUUUGCUCCAGACGUCUUCAACUGCCAGGCUCCUGACACAGGAAACAUGGAGGUGCUGCACAUGUUUGGUACGGAGGAGCAGAAGAGGAGGUGGCUGGAUCCUCUUCUCCGGGGGGAGAUCUGCUCCUGUUUCUGCAUGACAGAACCUGAUGUGGCCUCCAGCGAUGCCACCAACAUGGAGUGCACUCUUCACAGAGAUGGAGGUGAUUACAUCAUCAACGGCAAGAAAUGGUGGAGCAGCGGUGCUGGGAAAGCUAAUUGCAAAGUCGCCAUUGUGAUGUGCAGGAGCAGCUCCAAGGAGUCCAGCAGCAGACACGGCCAACACACUAUGGUCCUGGUUCCCAUGGAAACGGCAGGUGUAAAACUGGUCCGACCGCUCACUGUGUUUGGACAGGAUGAUGCCAUCCACGGUGGUCACUUUGAAGUGCACUUUGAAAAUGUCAGAGUUCCUGCAGCCAACAUCAUUCUGGGAGAAGGCCGAGGGUUUGAGAUCGCUCAGGGUCGUCUGGGACCAGGCCGUCUGCACCACUGCAUGAGGGCCGUUGGUUUGGCAGAGUUUGCUCUGGAGCUGCUCUGCCAGCGAGCCGCCAACAGGCAGACAUUUGGGAAGAAACUGUAUCAACAUGAGGUAGUUGCCCAUUGGAUAGCCGAGUGCCGUCUGAUGAUUGACCAGACCCGUCUGCUGACGCUCCAGGCGGCUCACGCACUCGAUACGGGAGGUGUCAGAGCCGCACGAAAACAGAUCGCGAUGAUCAAAGUGGCCGCGGCCAGAAUGGCCUGUCAGGUGGUGGACUGUGCCGUGCAGGUCUACGGAGCAGCGGGACUGUCUGCAGACUUCCCUCUAGCACAGAUGUACGCCUACGCCCGGACACUACGCCUUGCUGACGGACCAGACGAGGUUCACCUCUCCUCCGUGGCUCAUUUAGAGCUCAGAGACCAGCUGUCCAAACUGUGAUGUCAUGACCACGACUGAGGGUGGAGCCGCACGUCACCUGAUGAAGACUCUGCUUACCAUUUGGUUUUGGACGAAAGUGCAUCUCCGGCCAAGCUGGACCACUUGUGACCUGGCCGGUACAUCAUCGGACCAUCUCCGGACUAGCCAGUCCCGCAUUUUAGAAAGACUUCUAAAAACGUCUAAAAAGGUGGCUGUCGAAGUCCACUAAUAGUGAGUGAUCACCGGACUCGAGCAUCUGAGCGGCGAUGGCCCGUGUUUCCUCCCACUGUCUCAGCAUGAUUCUGCAGAAGACAAAGACAUCGGAACAGAGGGAUCUACAUUUGGAAUCACUAGAGAAGAAAGAACAAGAACAUCAACCAACACCAGGAAUAUUGGACUGGGAAUUGGUGAGAAAAGAUCAAUAACUGAUCUUUUACUGAAGAGAUUGAUGCGGGAUCAGGAGAGGACAGAUCAGGAUAUGGAGAUUUUCUUACAGCCUAAGUGUCGUUGCUAUUUUUUUUUUUUUUACUUCUUAUAAAUUUGUACAUUUCUUCAUCUUCAUUGUUUAUGAUUUACAACUUUUGGAAAACAUUUGUAACAUUAACUUUAAAACCUUCUUGUCAUCUUGGUUUAUGUAUUUAAAAUAACAUGAUUAGUCCUUUAAACACAGAUCGUUUAUAUGUUUGGCCAAAUCAAGACAUGGUUUACAGUAAACUGUAUUUCUAAUGUUGAGACAUUUAAUAAAAUAAAAAAUAAGACAAUG